rnacentral:rRNA from 1 species
UACGAAGGGGGCUAGCGUUGUUCGGAAUUACUGGGCGUAAAGCGCACGCAGGCGGUCUUGUCAGUCUGUAGGGACAGGGCACAGCUCAACUGUGUCAGGCUUAUGGAAACUGCAAGACUUGAGGGCUUCAGAGGGAUGGGGAAUUCCGGGUGGAGUGGUGAAAUGCGUAGAGAUCCGGAAGAACACCAAAGGCGAAGGCACCAUCCUGGGGAGUCACUGACGCUCGGGUGCGAAAGCUAGGGGAGCGAACGGG